CAUGUAGGCGGUUUUGCAAGCUUGAUGUGAAAUGCCGGGGCUUAACUCCGGCACUGCGUUGAGAACUGCAUGACUAGAGUAACUGAGGGGCAGCCGGAAUUCCAGGUGUAGGGGUGAAAUCUGUAGAUAUCUGGAAGAACACCAAUGGCGAAGGCAGGCUACCAGCAGAUUACUGACGCUGAGGUGCGAAGGUGCGGGGAGCAAACAG
rnacentral:rRNA from 1 species